rnacentral:lncRNA from 1 species
CCUAAGUUUAUAUUUACCGGUAUCUAGAGUAUCUCUAGAGAGGGUAGAUCUUUUUUUUCUCCCUUUCAGAUUCGGUCUAGUCCACUUUUGAGAUAAUCUGAAUAUUUAUAAAUCUAGACUUACUCUAGUUUGAUUUUGAUGGUUGUACUGAUCCAAUCCAUAAAUUUCAUAAUAUUUUAGGCUCAAUCAUCUAAACAGACCUUUAGUUUUAUUUCAAUUUAUCGGUAUUGAAGGAUGAAGGAUCAUCGCCAAC